CGGGGAAGCAGUCCUCGGCAGCUUCAGAUGAUGAGGCAGUGUGCUUGACUGUGUGUCAUUUACAAUUGCAUACAUGAGCAUGCGUACAUGCAGGGCAAGCAGCACUUCAUUUCUGUCCAUGCUAUUGACUGCUCUGACACUUUGACGUGCUUGGACUGCAUUCCAUUGGAGAAGCACUUUGUCCCUUCCUCUGACCCAUACAUACAGCAGAGAGCAGCAUCAGAUGAGCGGAAAGCUACUGUUCUGUUCUGGGUAACGACAGAUCACAGAGCAGUAGUCUGAAUGAAGCAUGUAUGUGGAUCGAGGGGUAUAGCAACUUUACAAAGCACUUCUUAACAAGCAAUCUGAGAGAGGAAAAAUCAGUUGCUCAAGCAAUCAUGCCUCAUUUCUUGGAUUGGUUUGUGCCAAUGUAUCUGAUGAUCUCCAUCCUUAUCUUGGUGGGCUUUGGAGCUUGCAUAUACUACUUUGAGCCAGGACUUCAGGAAGCGCACAAGUGGCGGACACAAAGGCCAAUCAUGGAACGAGACCUUCGGAAAACACUGAUGAUACGAGACAACCUUGCAUUUGGGGUGCCUGAAGUCUAGUAUUCUUCUUGCAUAGAUGUGUUGGAAGUAUCUAGAAGAAAGCCAUCCCCCCUGAAGUUACAAAUUAAUGUGCACACUCUGGUUUGCUUAGCACUUCUGCAAGUGAUGUGGUCAAACCACUCCUUGCUUGGGGCUCUGAUAAUGAAGCGUUCCUUUUUGCUAUUUAGACAAGGCCUGUAGACUCAUAUCAACUUAGACCUUCUGGUUUUUGAACUUGAUCAUCACUCCAUCACUUGAUAUUUUUUAUCCUCCAUAUAUAAAGAGCGUUUGUUACCUUGCUAGGAGUGGUCACACCUGUACGUGAGCUUUAGACCUCUUAAGUAUAAGAAAGCAAUAUUUCUGCAUGACCUGUGUAUUUUGGUCGAGUGCCUCCUGGACAAGUGCCCAUCUCACAAACCUCACAACAGACACCAUUUCAUUACUUUAUUUAGAGUCUCUUGGGUGAGGCAAAAACCCCAAAUUGAUUGCACAGACUGAAUUCUAUUCUCAUUCCCAACACUAAGCUCAGCUAUGCAGUAGGACACAUUACUAGCCAAGUUGUAUAUAUUUUGAUUUCAGAUCGUUUCACCGCACACAAGCGCCUGUCUGGCUCUGAACUCACUCACUCAGAUUUCACUUUUAAAAGUCUGUGCAGAUUAAUUACCGUUAAAGAAUUGCUUUUACUUCUCCAUGAUUAGGGAAUUUGUUUCUAGAUGUCGGGUUGUCUGCACUUCUCUAUACUUAGAGGAUCCAGAAUGCUGUCAUGUGAAAAGCUGUAUUUCACAAUCCUCUGCUGCUGCAAUCUUUUAAAGUGGUCUGAUCAGGAGUCCCCUGUUUAGCACUGUACUUUCUAGAUUGUCAACCAGAUUGAAAACUGUGAAACACCAUCACACAACCUACCUUUCUGCAUCCACACCAAAAGCCACUGAGCUAGAGGCUGUGACACUGCAGUUCUAAUUUCUAUACGUUGCUUCUGGAGCUCCGUUGUGUGUGGUUAUGCAGUAGAUAUGCUCUCUAUCCACACAGUGUUUGCACUUUGAUCCACACUUCCUUUAGGGAUAUGUUACCAAAGUACUGUAUGAAAACAUUAAUGCAUGUGAAAAUAGGCAGGAACCUCUGCUAAUCUAAUAGUGUGCAGAUUGCAUACUGAUAAUAUUGGCAGAAUAUAGGGCCUAUGACAUGAUGGGUAUUCUCAUAGCUGGUUUUACUGUGCCCAUAUUAUCUCUCACCUUCAUUUCAGGGCAUCAGUUCUGACUGUAGAGUAGGAUUCAUUCCCUUGUUGGCAGAGUAUGUCAUGCUGUGUUAAUACACCUGUUCCACUGUGAAGUACUAGUCUUGUGGACAUCAGUUUCACCAGUAUAUAUUUCAUGUUAGGGACAUGUGCCUUUGCUUCUCUACCGUACUCAUGUGUGUACAUUCCAUGUUAAGGUAGCACAUACUGUUAAUAUCUACAUCAUCCCCCAAUUACAGAGACAUGUCUAUACAUUGGAUGCCUCAUUGGAAUGCAUUCACUCCCACACCAUAGUUUCGUAGAGCAUAGUUCUUCUCUACAUUCCAUACUUUCCUCGCCUCGCCUGUCAAGUGCUGCCUUCUCAUACACUUGGAUACAUUCCGUUGCUUCCAUGAUCUCAUUCAGUGCC